rnacentral:sRNA from 1 species
AGGGUCUGCCUGGCCCCUCAGGUCCCACUGGUGAAGUUGGCAAACCAGGAGAAAGGGGUCUCCACGGUGAGUUUGGUCUCCCUGGUCCUGCUGGUCCAAGAGGGGAACGCGGUCCCCCAGGUGAGAGUGGUGCUGCCGGUCCUACUGGUCCUAUUGGAAGCCGAGGUCCUUCUGGACCCCCAGGGCCUGAUGGAAACAAGGGUGAACCUGGUGUGGUUGGUGCUGUGGGCACUGCUGGUCCAUCUGGUCCUAGUGGACUCCCAGGAGAGAGGGGUGCUGCUGGCAUACCUGGAGGCAAGGGAGAAAAGGGUGAACCUGGUCUCAGAGGUGAAAUUGGUAACCCUGGCAGAGAUGGUGCUCGUGGUGCUCCUGGUGCUGUGGGUGCCCCUGGUCCUGCUGGAGCCACAGGUGACCGGGGCGAAGCUGGGGCUGCUGGUCCUGCUGGUCCUGCUGGUCCUCGGGGAAGCCCUGGUGAACGUGGUGAGGUCGGUCCUGCUGGCCCCAAUGGAUUUGCUGGUCCUGCUGGUGCUGCUGGUCAACCUGGUGCUAAAGGAGAAAGAGGAGCCAAAGGGCCUAAGGGUGAAAACGGUGUUGUUGGUCCCACAGGCCCCGUUGGAGCUGCUGGCCCAGCUGGUCCAAAUGGUCCCCCCGGUCCUGCUGGAAGUCGUGGUGAUGGAGGCCCCCCUGGUAUGACUGGUUUCCCUGGUGCUGCUGGACGGACUGGUCCCCCGGGACCCUCUGUAAGUAAAUCACUACAAACGUGUCUUCAUUUACUCUAGCCAAAAGGCCUGGCUUCUGAUAGGAAACUGGUAAGAAACUCUUCAUGAA